rnacentral:rRNA from 1 species
AUUGAACGCUGGCGGCAGGCCUAACACAUGCAAGUCGAACGAGUGGCGGACGGGUGAGUAAUGUCUGGGCAACUGCCUGAUGGAGGGGGAUAACUACUGGAAACGGUAGCUAAUACCGCAUACCCUCAGAUGUGCCCAGCUGGGAUUAGCUUGUUGGUGGGGUAACGGCUCACCAAGGCGACGAUCCCUAGCGGGUCUGAGAGGAUGACCAGCAACACUGGAACUGAGACACGGUCCAGAGUCCUACGGGAGGAAGCAGUGGGGAAUAUUGCACAAGGGGGGAAAGCCUGAUGCAGCCAUGCCGCGUGUAUGAAGAAGGCCUUCGGGUGGUAAAGUACUGUCAGCGGGGAGGCGUUACCCGCAGAAGAAGCACCGGCUAACUCCGUGCCAGCAGCCGCGGUAAUUC